UUCGCUUGUCGCACGUAAGUGAGGGGCAUUCACUUGUCGCACGUCUGUGAGAGGCGUUCGCUUGUCGCACGUCUGUGAGAGGUGUUCGCUUGUCAUUCGUCUGUGAGAGGCGUUCGCUUGUCGCGAGUCUAGUCAUCAUGCACCUAGUUUUUGUUUGUGACUGCCCUCUAGAGGGCGCCAGAAUCUCAUAUUUUGCGAAGGCGACGGAAUUGCGGCAGAGACGUGGCUCACGAUGCGCCAAUUGUUUUUGUGUUGACGCGGACAUUCGAGGGAUCUCGCCGAAUCCCGCGAGUUUCUCACUCGUUUUGCACGCUCUCUUGUUGUUUUGUGCAAAUGUCAUCUACGUUUUUUUUUGCAUUUUGAGUUUUGCGGCAGGAGUCGGGCGCUCGACUGUUUGUGUGUAGUUAUGCCCACAGGUGGCGCCACAUUGAUACGAAGCUUGUUUCACUUGCUCUUUACACAAGCCAUACAAGUUGUAUUACUUUACGAUUUCAAUAAAUCCGCGUUUAAAACGAAUUAUGAUAAAAUUUCA